UAUUACUUAACAUAUGAGCCAUUUCUCAUUAGGGGCGGACCAUUAGAAAUCCCGGGAGGGGGGGUAUAAAAUUUUUGCGGCACGAAUUUUUUUUUCAGUCUCAUGUCUCUGCAGGAAUUUUUUUUAAUGCAUUUAACCUCUGCACGAAUUUUUUUUCAAGACUACUUGUACUUUGCUCAUGGGCGUACCGGAAGGAAAAAGUUAGGGGGGCGGAAAGAAAUUUGCCGGACUUUUCCGGAUUUUGACCGACAAGUACUGAAAACAUUUUUCCGCAAUUUGUUUUGGCUUUCCAACACACACACACCAAAAGUUACUACAAAAUUGACAGAAUUUGUCAUUUUUUUUUUUAAUAAACAAAAUUGCCCAACUGUUCAGCGAAUAUUGCCCGACUGCCAACUGCCCGGUACGCCCAUGACUUUGCUGUUUGUUUGCACGAAUUUUUUUUCUCUGACGUAAUGGCUGCACGAAUUUUUUUCCAGGCAUUUUUCUUUGCACGAAUUUUUUUGGGGAAUUUUCACCCCCCCUCCCGGGAUUUCUAAUGGUCCGCCCCUUAUAUUCUGCGACCACUUGUUGUGCUGGGGAACCAUGCAGGAACACAGUGGAAUGCGUAAGCUGGGUAAUAGGGUUAGAGUUUUGGUCAUGUCAUGCAUGCUCAGGCCUGGCUAAGGUGGAGAUAUAUUGGUACCAAAAGCAUUUUACCUUUCAGUAUCUGUUAUUUUAUUCUCCAAAUAGGUCAAAAUACAAGUAAACACUUAAAUGUAAUCCCAUAUUUAUUGAAGAACACUGGGAAUUAUAGGUAUAUAUUGGUAUUCAGAACCAGUACAAUUGCAGCCAGUGUUUAUUAGGCAUAUCCUUGAAACCCAUAUAUUUGUAUACAUUGUACAACAUUCUAUUAUUACUUGAUUACACAUAUGCAGUGGUUAAAACAAUAGUGUAGCACGCCAAGAUACGAAAUUAGACCCGGACAACAACACUGUCAACAGUCUGCUUCGGUGGUUAUAUAAUUAAUACAAAAUUACAAAGUGAAGGUAAACAUCUAUUACGGGAACCACUGAGUAUUUUAAUAAAAUAUAAAACAACGGUAA